CCUACUGGUGGCAGCAGUGGGGAAUAUUGGUCAAUGGGCGCGACCCUGAUGCAGCCACGUCGCGUGAAGGAUGACUGCUCUACGGGUUGUAAACUUCUUCUAUAGAGGAAUAAAGUGAGGCACGUGUUCCUUUUUGUACGUCCUUUAAGAAUACGGCUGCGCUAACUACGGGCCAGCAGCCGCGGUAAUACGGAGGAUCCGAGCGUUAUCCGGAUUUAUUGGGUGUAAAGGGAGCGUAGAUGGGUAGUUAAGGCUGUUGUGAAAGGUUGGGGCGCAACCGUAGAAUUGCAAUUGAAACUGGCAGCCUAGAGUACAGGAGAGGUAGGCGGAAUUCCUGGUGUAGCGGUGAAAUGCGUAGAUAUCACGAAGAACACCAGUGGCGAAGGCAGCUUACUAAACUGCAACUGACGUUGAGGCUCGAAAGUGUGGGGAGCAAACAGGAUUAGAUACCCGUGUAGUC
rnacentral:rRNA from 1 species